UAAAAAGCUAAAACUCGAAAUUCCAUUUGACCCAGCUAUUCUCCUUCUAGGUGUUUUCCUGAAGGACAUCUUAUUACAGUGAUCACGUGUACACAUCUUCAUAGCACCAUAAUUCACAAUAGCUAAAUCUAGGAAGCAGCCUAUAUGUCCAAUAAAGGAUAGGUGGAUAAAUAAAAAGUGGCAUUGUUACAUAAUGGAAUAUGACUUUGCCAUAAAAAAAGAUAAAUCUGAGUCAUUUUUAGGAAAGUAGAUGCAACUUGAGACCAUGUUCAGUGAAAUUAAUCAGAAAUGCAAGCUUAAAAAUUGCAUGUUUUUUCUUAUGUGAGAAAUCAAAUAUAAAUAAGGAAGUAAAUGAAUGAUAGAUACAGUAAGAAGAGGGAAAAAGAAAGAGAAAGUUGGAGGGAAGAGGAAGGCAACUGAGAAGGGAAUGACAAAGAGUUAUGUGCGUAUGCCGGUCCACACAAGAAUGUAAUCCUUAUGUACUGCCAAUAUAUGAUAAUAAAAUGAAAAGGUUAAAACAUAAACAACUAAAAUGCAAUAUAAAACUUCUCUAACUUAGAAGCAAACUCAACUUUUCCAGCCCAUCAGUCACUGUGUUCAAAUGCCUCGGGUGUCCUCGACACUGCUGACCUCUGGAAAGAGUUGGAGAUGAAGGUAAAACAAAGAAAAAAGGAAAAGAUAAGUUUUAACCUCCAAGGUCAUUUUAAGCUGUGUACUAUACUUGUGUUUAUCCACUUAGUAAUAACUAACUGACAAUGUUAUGACUCUUAUUCUGAAGUAGAAUAUAGACAUCGCCCUCACACCUUUUUAUAACUGUAGAGCUACUUUGUGCCCCACUGUGUGGACAUCAGUUUAUUCAAACAAAGCCCCUUAAAUUUGACUGUUUUUUAUUUUAUAAAAAACCCAAUAUUUUGUAAUCAAAUAGUAGGAGAAUAACAAUAGUUGUUAUACUGUGUAUUUUUAUCUUCAAAGUGGUUAUUCAAAGUAUAAAACAGAAACCAAAAAGAUUCUUACAAAAAAGAAACAUAAUAACAAAUCUUUCCUUUCACCAAACUAAGAUAAACUAGCUCUUUUGAUUAACAUUUGUGUAUAUGUGUGUUUACAAAUAGUUCUAUAAUGAAUAAACUUGUGUAUAUUUUUCCGCCAAACUACAACCCACAUUUACUAGUGUAUCUUUGGGAGAGAUUACAAAAGGAAUGCUGAGCCAAAAAGGAAGUACAUGCAUGAUACAACGAAUAUUGCCAUAUUCAUCUGUGAAUGGGUUCCAGUGUGCUCCAAUCGACAAUAUAUGGGAGUGCCUUUUCUGAAAACCUUACUAUUUUCUAAGUGAAUUUUUUGGCCAAUCUAACUGAGGCUGAAUACUGAAAAGUAAGACUGUAAAUUAUUUAAGAAGACCUGAUAGCUUUUCCGCUGCAGGAGCCAGCUGAGAGUCUGUCUAUGGGAGACCCAAAGCCGGGAAAGCUCCUUUUCUUCUUGGUCUCAAUCACAUCAUUCUCCAAGGAAACCAGUUCAUCAAGAAGCAAGAGCUUUGCUGCCAGAACCAGGGCAGCAAUGAGUCAUUCCAAGUGGUCUUGGAAGAAGAUAAGACUGAGAAUCAUUUUGGAAAAAAAAAGGAGAAAGCAAGCUAGAGUGAAGAAAAGAUCUAAGAGAAGCAAGAUGUGUUACUCUCAUAUGUGGGACCCUAGAGGAUGUCGUAUAUCUCAGAAAACCCACUACACUGCCGGCCUUGAGAGAAGAAACUGAAAAUGCAUGUGCUGCAAUCUCGAUGAUCAAGGUUACCCAAGCAGCAGUCAGCUGUAGUAAUAAAUGUCUGGAAGCUCAUGGCCACCGCUUUGAGCACCUCUUGUAAUUUAGAGGCCAAAAGCAAAGUGUAUUAAUCUCAUUAAAUUUAAUAUUCAAAUAUCUAUCAAGUUUUUCUUUUACUGAACUGUGCAUACAUUUUUUUAGUGGACUCUUUGUGUGAUAGUAAGGAAAAAACUCAGGAUUAGAUUUGAAAACUAGAAAUAAAUAUCCUUGCUGCGCUUCUCAUUG